rnacentral:rRNA from 1 species
GAGUUUGAUCUUGGCUCAGAUUGAACGCUGGCGGCAGGCCUAACACAUGCAAGUCGAGCGGAUGAAGGGAGCUUGCUCCUGGAUUCAGCGGCGGACGGGUGAGUAAUGCCUAGGAAUCUGCCUGGGUAGUGGGGGAUAACGUCCGGAAACGGGCGCUAAUACCGCAUACGUCCUGAGGGAGAAGGUGGGGGAUCUUCGGACCUCACGCUAUCAGAUGAGCCUAGGUCGGAUUAGCUAGUUGGUGGGGUAAAGGCCUACCAAGGCGACGAUCCGUAACUGGUCUGAGAGGAUGAUCAGUCACACUGGAACUGAGACACGGUCCAGACUCCUACGGGAGGCAGCAGUGGGGAAUAUUGGACAAUGGGCGAAAGCCUGAUCCAGCCAUGCCGCGUGUGUGAAGAAGGUCUUCGGAUUGUAAAGCACUUUAAGUUGGGAGGAAGGGCAGUAAGUUAAUACCUUGCUGUUUUGACGUUACCAACAGAAUAAGCACCGGCUAACUUCGUGCCAGCCGCCGCCGUAAU